rnacentral:rRNA from 1 species
AUUGAACGCUGGCGGCAGGCCUAACACAUGCAAGUCGAGCGGUAGCACAGAGAGCUUGCUCUCGGGUGACGAGCGGCGGACGGGUGAGUAAUGUCUGGGAAACUGCCUGAUGGAGGGGGAUAACUACUGGAAACGGUAGCUAAUACCGCAUAGCGUCGCAAGACCAAAGUGGGGGACCUUCGGGCCUCAUGCCAUCAGAUGUGCCCAGAUGGGAUUAGCUAGUAGGUGGGGUAACGGCUCACCUAGGCGACGAUCCCUAGCUGGUCUGAGAGGAUGACCAGCCACACUGGAACUGAGACACGGUCCAGACUCCUACGGGAGGCAGCAGUGGGGAAUAUUGCACAAUGGGCGCAAGCCUGAUGCAGCCAUGCCGCGUGUGUGAAGAAGGCCUUCGGGUUGUAAAGCACUUUCGGCGGGGAGGAAGGCGGUGAGGUUAAUAACCUCAUCGAUUGACGUUACCCGCAGAAGAAGCACCGGCUAACUCCGUGCCAGCAGCCCGCAGUAAGAC